CAUUCAAGAUAUUCAGUCAUGAUUCCUGGCCAGAGCAACGAGAGCUGACAGACUAUGGUGCAGAGGAGCUGGACUUCCUGCUAGACCACUUCAACUCUGUCUUUAACAAGAAAUGGCUGUGAUUCCAAUCUGGCUAGAGAGGAGUAUCAAUCCAUGAAGACAUUCAUCUUUAGGAACUACAUGGACAAGUCUUACCAUGCCUUAUGGGAGAUGAUGGUAACAAAGUUGCCAUUCUGCUCUGAUUACAAGAACAUCCUACAUCUUGUGCACAUCAUGCUGGUCCUCCCAGUCUCCUCUUCUGUAUGUGAAAGGGGAUUUUCUGCUCAGAAGAGGAUU